rnacentral:misc_RNA from 1 species
GAAACUAUCACUCUUGUCCUGUCGCAAGACAUGUCAGGAUGUGGACUUGGACUGUGCCGUAGUUGGCUCGUCUUGAAAUGCAUUAGCCGUGCUGGUUAGAUUCGGCCACCUGGUGUGAUAUAUGUCUACGCCUAUCGUGCUGUCUCUUCCUGAGCGUGGCUCAUAAUCGUCGCUUGUUCGACAACACAAAUUAACG